GUUUGCUAAGUGCUUAUUUCUAACGCACUGGAUCCCAUCAGAACUUCGAAGUUAAGCGUGCUUGGGCGAGAGUAGUACUAGGAUGGGUGACCCUCUGGGAAGUCCUCGUGUUGCAUCCC
rnacentral:rRNA from 1 species